rnacentral:rRNA from 1 species
AUGAGCCAGCAAAUCCCGUCAGCAGGUGUUGGUGGCUCAAGCACUGCCUCAGUAGCAGCACCUGCACUCCCUCAAGUUGAUUCGGAUGACCCUGCGUGGAAGUAUUGCACUCUUCCAGAUGUGAACAAGAAGCAUUGGCAGUUGGUAUGUUGUUUAUGUACUCUUCAGGACCAUCUCAUGUUGUUUAUGUACCACUUUUGUUAUUCAAAGUGUGCUGGUGGUAUGUUGCUAGUUGCUAUGCCAAACUUUGCUCUGUUAUGUAAUGAAUUGAACCAUCUCCUGAUAUAUGUCCUUAUUAUGUAUGGUAGGAACUACAUAAUACUAUGUUAUGUGGCUGUUUGCAUGAGUAUGGUAGGAACUACAUAA